rnacentral:rRNA from 1 species
GACGAACGCUGGCGGCGUGCCUAAUACAUGCAAGUUGAGCGCUGAAGGUUGGUACUUGUACCAACUGGAUGAGCAGCGGACGGGUGAGUAACGCGUGGGGAAUCUGCCUUUGAGCGGGGGACAACAUUUGGAAACGAAUGCUAAUACCGCAUAAAAACUUUAAACACAAGUUUUAAGUUUGAAAGAUGCAAUUGCAUCACUCAAAGAUGAUCCCGCGUUGUAUUAGCUAGUUGGUGAGGUAAAGGCUCACCAAGGCGAUGAUACAUAGCCGACCUGAGAGGGUGAUCGGCCAAAUUGGGACUGAGACACGGCCCAAACUCCUACGGGAGGCAGCAGUAGGGAAUCUUCGGCAAAGGACGAAAGUCUGAACGAGCAACGCCGCGUGAGUGAAGGAGGUUUUCGGAUCGUAAAACUCUGUUGGUAGAGAAGAACGUUGGUGAGAGUGGAAAGCUCAUCAAGUGACGGUAACUACCCAGAAAGGGACGGCUAACUACGUG